rnacentral:sRNA from 1 species
AUCAAUGAAUGAAUGAAGCAGUCGUUUUGUUAAGAGAAAGAUAUUUGAAGAGAAUGAGACAACAAGUUCAUUAUACAUACGUGCGUGAGGUUUGGUUUUUAUAAAAAGUAGCUUCACUGGUUCUUACUUCAAACAGUUGUGAAUAAAACUUGAAACCGUGAAGUGCCAGAAGAAAACGAAAAAACGAACGAGCGAUCAAUCGAGACAGUCAGUUAAAGCGCGGCGCAGUGGAAAAAAAUUCAUUGAGAUUUAAAUGGUGUGACUAAAUACAAAAAAAAAACAAAUAAAUAUUGCACACAGAGAAAAUAGCAGUGAAGAGUGUAAGCAAAAAAAAAAAUAUUGAAAAAAGAAACAUAAAACAAAAUAAAAACAAAUAAACAACUUAUUUAAAUUUUGUUAACACAAAAUUAGUUAAAAAUAUUCGAUAUAGUGCUAACUUCUGUUUUUAUCCAGCUGUCAACUAAUUGCUGGAAUAGUGUUAAAAUCAAAGUUUUCUUUGUUUUAUGGCAGUGCGAGUCAGUUUUUUGUGUGAUUUGUUGUUAAUAAUUGUAAAUGUGUUGUGGAAUUGUUGUUAAAUUGCUUCUUCCAGAGUACAAGUGAACAGUGUAUGUUUAGUCAAUACCAUGUCAAUCAUUAUACGCAUUAUAUGCAUUACACUCUGCAAUUCUACUUUUGCUUGAUCAUUCCGCCUGCUUGAAGAUCUUUGCCUGCAAAUCACCUCCCGUCUUCACACUUCCAAGAUCUAUGAUAUGCUCAACUUGAAUACCAUUUGCCAUAUGAUGCGCUUCAAAUGCUUUACUACAUUGUACAAAUUGAUGUUGAGACAUUGUGUCAGCAGCAGGCCAGACCGGCUGUCAAGUCCAAGCAUAAGGCAUCCAACACUCGGCUCCAAAAUCUUUUGUCGCCAUGAUUAACGCCAACAUCAUCGAAAGAUGAUUCGAACCUGACAUUUCAAGAUUAUGCAUUUGAAUUAUUGGUCCAUUUUAUUAAGGAUGAUAUUUUGUGUGGUCGCCUCUCUUUGGUGCAAUUAAUCAGCUGAAUGACGUUGGCGCCAGAUAACCUAAAGCCAACCACCCAACCACAAGGAGUGUUAAAAUAAGUCAACAAUAUGAAUGCGAACACACAUGGCAGGCGUUUUGAUAUUCUGGUUUUCAAAUAAAUUUUCCAUCGUGGAAUUAUGUUUUU